rnacentral:rRNA from 1 species
GUCUACGCCCGUGCCACCCUGAACACGCCUGAUCUCCUCUGAUCUCAGAAGCUAAGCAGGGUCGGGCCUGGUUAGUCCUUGGAUGGGAGACCACCUAGGAAGACCAAGUGCUGUAGGCG